rnacentral:rRNA from 1 species
AGAGUUUGAUCAUGGCUCAGGAUGAACGCUAGCGGCAGGCCUAAUACAUGCAAGUCGAGGGGCAGCACUUACUUCGGUAAGUGGCGACCGGCGCACGGGUGAGUAACACGUAUGCAACCUACCUUUAACUGGGGCAUAGCUCGAGGAAACUCGAAUUAAUUCCCCAUAAUAUAAUACAUUAUCUCAUGAUAUAAUUAUUAAAGAUUUAUCGGUUAAAGAUGGGCAUGCGUCUGAUUAGUUUGUUGGUGAGGUAACGGCUCACCAAGACUUCGAUCAGUAGGGGGUCUGAGAGGAUGAUCCCCCACACUGGUACUGAGAUACGGACCAGACUUCUACGGAAGGCAGCAGUAAGGAAUAUUGGGCAAUGGGCGAAAGCCUGACCCAGCCAUGCCGCGUGCAGGAUGACGAUCUUACGGAUUGUAAACUGCUUUUAUAUAGGAAGAAAAUACUCUUGCGAGAGUAACUGACGGUACUAUAAGAAUAAGGACCGGCUAACUCCGUGCCAGCAGCCGCGGUAAUACGGAGGGUCCAAGCGUUGUCCGGAUUUAUUGGGUUUAAAGAGUGCGUAGGUGGUUUAUUAAGUCAGUGGUGAAAUCCUGCAGCUCAACUGUAGAACUGCCAUUGAAACUGAUAAACUUGAGUUUGGUUUAGGUAAGUGGAAUUUAUGAUGUAGCGGUGAAAUGCAUAGAUAUCAUAAGGAACACCAAUAGCGAA